rnacentral:rRNA from 1 species
UACGAAGGAGGCUAGCGUUGUUCGGAAUUACUGGGCGUAAAGCGCACGUAGGCGGCUCUGUAAGUUGGGGGUGAAAUCCCGAGGCUCAACCUCGGAAUUGCCUUCAAGACUGCAGGGCUUGAGUUCGGGAGAGGUGAGUGGAAUGCCCAGAGUAGAGGUGAAAUUCGUAGAUAUUGGGAAGAACAACAGUGGCGAAUGCGGCUCACUGGCACGUAACUGACGCUGAGGUGCGAAAGCGUGGGGAGCAAUUACG